rnacentral:rRNA from 1 species
CCUACGGGGCGCUGCAGUGGGGAAUAUUGGACAAUGGGCGAAAGCCUGAUCCAGCCAUGCCGCGUGUGUGAAGAAGGCCUUCGGGUUGUAAAGCACUUUCAGUGGGGAAGAAAGCCUUGGGGCUAAUACCCUCGAGGAAGGACAUCACCCACAGAAGAAGUACCGGCUAACUCCGUGCCAGCAGCCGCGGUAAUACGGAGGGUGCGAGCGUUAAUCGGAAUUACUGGGCGUAAAGCGCGCGUAGGCGGUCUGAUAAGCCGGUUGUGAAAGCCCCGGGCUCAACCUGGGAACGGCAUCCGGAACUGUCAGGCUAGAGUGCAGGAGAGGAAGGUAGAAUUCCCGGUGUAGCGGUGAAAUGCGUAGAGAUCGGGAGGAAUACCAGUGGCGAAGGCGGCCUUCUGGACUGACACUGACGCUGAGGUGCGAAAGCGUGGGUAGCAAACAGGAUUAGAUACCCGUGUAGUC